AGUGAACGCUGGCGGUAGGCCUAACACAUGCAAGUCGAACGGCAGCACAGAGGAGCUUGCUCCUUGGGUGGCGAGUGGCGGACGGGUGAGGAAUACUUCGGAAUCUACUCUGUCGUGGGGGAUAACGUAGGGAAACUUACGCUAAUACCGCAUACGACCUACGGGUGAAAGCAGGGGACCUUCGGGCCUUGCGCGAUUGAAUGAGCCGAUGUCGGAUUAGCUAGUUGGCGGGGUAAAGGCCCAACAAGGCGACGAUCCGUAGCUGGUCUGAGAGGAUGAUCAGCCACACUGGAACUGAGACACGGUCCAGACUCCUACGGGAGGCAGCAGUGGGGAAUAUUGGACAAUGGGCGCAAGCCUGAUCCAGCCAUACCGCGUGGGUGAAGAAGGCCUUCGGGUUGUAAAGCCCUUUUGUUGGGAAAGAAAUCCAGCUGGCUAAUACCCGGUUGGGAUGACGGUACCCAAAGAAUAAGCACCGGCUAACUUCGUGCCAGCCGCCGCAGUAA
rnacentral:rRNA from 1 species